rnacentral:lncRNA from 1 species
GCUGUGAAGUAUUGAUAUCAUGAUAAGAUGCUUUGUAUGCUUAUGGGAAGAGUUUUUUAUGAGUAUGCGGAGGGUGCCAUAACCCUCGAUUCACAAUCACAGAUCGGGGGCGUGACAAUUAUAGUGAUAUCAGAUCAUUAGUGGAUGAACGAUGACAUGUAGAAUCAAAUAUAGAAUAAAUGUCAGUGGAAAGACACUAGAGAUAUUAUGGUGUAGAUCUUUGAUGAUUGUAGUGUCAGAAA